UGGCGUGUAACUCAGUUGGUAGAGUAUCUGCCUUCUACUUUUGGUGGCGGCAAGCAGGAGGUCGUGGGAUCGAACCCCACCACGCUCG
rfam:Capsaspora owczarzaki ATCC 30864 unplaced genomic scaffold supercont2.10, whole genome shotgun sequence.